rnacentral:rRNA from 1 species
CACGUAGGGCGCGAGCGUUGUCCGGAAUUAUUGGGCGUAAAGAGCUCGUAGGCGGCCUGUUGCGUCCGCUGUGAAAGCCCGGGGCUUAACCCCGGGUCUGCAGUGGAUACGGGCAGGCUAGAGGUAGGUAGGGGAGAAUGGAAUUCCCGGUGUAGCGGUGAAAUGCGCAGAUAUCGGGAGGAACACCGGUGGCGAAGGCGGUUCUCUGGGCCUUACCUGACGCUGAGGAGCGAAAGCGUGGGGAGCGGACAGG